rnacentral:lncRNA from 12 species
CACCGGCUUAAAAGUUUGUGGUAUUUUUAACACACAAGAUUGCUUUCUUCUUUGACCAUUAUUUUGAAAAUGUUUGUAUACAAUUAGUACCAUGUGUUCAUACAGUUAGUUGUAUAUUUUGCCAAUUUCUUUAUUUGUCUCCACAGUAAGGAAAGGAACUGACUCAGUGUGAAAGCCACCAACCUUUCAUCAGCCUUUCUCUGGAUGCUUCAUCUUCUGUAGCUUGGUGCUGGGAGCUACAGCCCUACAGGCAUCUCACUGCCUGAUGCUCAGUGAGGGAGGAGAAGGUGCAUAUACAAAGAAGAAAAAAAAGGCAAGGGAAAAAUGAAGGUGAUUCUUGAGAUGUGAGUCAAAUUAUCUCUCAAUAUUUUGGAAAGGACUCAGGGAAGCCGCAAUCUGAUGCCUGAACUGAGCCAAGAGAAAGAAAAAUGUGCAAACAGUUUGUGAGUCACCUGUGAUCCAUUCUUCUAGGGACUCGGGGAGUGGGGGACAUCAGUUACCUUCACUACACAAUUGAAGUGCUUUCACUCACAAUAGCUCCUGGCCAUAGAGUCAGGUAAGAGUAUACUUCCAGCAGCUAGCAACUAGAUGGGGGUGAGGGUGGGGUAGUGAGCGCUGGUGGAGACAGCAGUUGACUGAACUUCAGGCAGCAGGAGUGUGAGAUUUGAUGCUGCCCCUGCAACCUUGGUUAGUUUUGUAAGGA